GCCUGGGUGGCUCAGUCGGUUGAGUGUCCGACUUCGGCUCAGGUCAUGAUCUCAUGGUUCAUGGGUUCGAGCCCCGCCUUGGGCU
rnacentral:tRNA from 1 species